rnacentral:rRNA from 1 species
ACGGGUGAGUAAUGUCUGGGGAUCUGCCCGAUAGAGGGGGAUAACCACUGGAAACGGUGGCUAAUACCGCAUAACGUCGCAAGACCAAAGAGGGGGACCUUCGGGCCUCUCACUAUCGGAUGAACCCAGAUGGGAUUAGCUAGUAGGCGGGGUAACGGCCCACCUAGGCGACGAUCCCUAGCUGGUCUGAGAGGAUGACCAGCCACACUGGAACUGAGACACGGUCCAGACUCCUACGGGAGGCAGCAGUGGGGAAUAUUGCACAAUGGGCGCAAGCCUGAUGCAGCCAUGCCGCGUGUAUGAAGAAGGCCUUCGGGUUGUAAAGUACUUUCAGCGGGGAGGAAGGCGAUAAGGUUAAUAACCUUGUCGAUUGACGUUACCCGCAGAAGAAGCACCGGCUAACUCCGUGCCAGCAGCCGCGGUAAUACGGAGGGUGCAAGCGUUAAUCGGAAUUACUGGGCGUAAAGCGCACGCAGGCGGUCUGUUAAGUCAGAUGUGAAAUCCCCGGGCUUAACCUGGGAACUGCAUUUGAAACUGGCAGGCUUGAGUCUCGUAGAGGGGGGUAGAAUUCCAGGU